UACGGAGGGAGCUAGCGUUGUUCGGAAUUACUGGGCGUAAAGCGCACGUAGACGGCGAUUCAAGUCAGAGGUGAAAGCCCGGGGCUCAACCCCGGAACUGCCUUUGAAACUAGAUUGCUAGAAUCCUGGAGAGGUGAGUGGAAUUCCGAGUGUAGAGGUGAAAUUCGUAGAUAUUCGGAAGAACACCAGUGGCGAAGGCGACUCACUGGACAGGUAUUGACGCUGAGGUGCGAAAGCGUGGGGAGCAAACAGG
rnacentral:rRNA from 1 species